rnacentral:lncRNA from 1 species
GACAAACGAGAAAGAAGAUACAGAUACCAAAGAAACUGAAACAGCUAAGUAUGUCUAUAAAAACCAACGCCGUAUGCAUCAGCUCUUAAGAUUUGAAUAAAAUCAGCAUGAAGCUCAUUACUGGUCUAAGUGAAGAAUCCCCAUGGAUCGGUUGAGAAGCCAACCAAUCCGCUACCCUGUUACCUCCCUGUGAAUGUGAGAGAUUUGAAGGUCCUCUAACAAGGGG